CCUACGGGAGGCAGCAGUAGGGAAUUUUCGUCAAUGGGCGCAAGCCUGAACGAGCCAAGUCGCGUGAGGGAAGACGGUCCUAUGGAUUGUAAACCUCUUUUGCCGGGGAGCAAAAAGCGGUACGUGUACCGCAUCGAGAGUACCUGAAGAAAAAGCAUCGGCUAACUCCGUGCCAACAGCCGCGGUAAUACGGAGGAUGCGAGCGUUAUCCGGAUUUAUUGGGUUUAAAGGGUGCGUAGGCGGAAUGCCAAGUCAGCGGUAAGAUCGCGGGGCUCAACCUCGCUCCGCCGUUGAAACUGGCGUUC
rnacentral:rRNA from 1 species